rnacentral:piRNA from 3 species
UCUUCGCGAGAGGCUUUGGCAUAGAU